CCUACGGGAGGCUGCAGUCGAGAAUCAUUCACAAUGGGGGAAACCCUGAUGGUGCGACGCCGCGUGGGGGAAUGAAGGUCUUCGGAUUGUAAACCCCUGUCAUGUGGGAGCAAAUUAAAAAGAUAGUACCACAAGAGGAAGAGACGGCUAACUCUGUGCCAGCAGCCGCGGUAAGACAGAGGUCUCAAGCGUUGUUCGGAAUCACUGGGCGUAAAGCGUGCGUAGGCUGUUUCGUAAGUCGUGUGUGAAAGGCGCGGGCUCAACCCGCGGACGGCACAUGAUACUGCGAGACUAGAGUAAUGGAGGGGGAACCGGAAUUCUCGGUGUAGCAGUGAAAUGCGUAGAUAUCGAGAGGAACACUCGGGGCGAAGGCGGGUUCCUGGACAUUAACUGACGCUGAGGCACGAAGGCCAGGGGAGCGAAAGGGAUUAGAUACCCCAGUAGUC
rnacentral:rRNA from 1 species